UCGUCAGCUCGUGUCGUGAGAUGUUGGGUUAAGUCCCGCAACGAGCGCAACCCAUGUUAUUAGUUGCCAGCAUUAAGUUGGGCACUAUAAUGAGACUGCCGGUGACAAACCGGAGGAAGGUGGGGAUGACGUCAAGUCAUCAUGCCCCUUAUGACGUGGGCUACACACGUGCUACAAUGGGCAGUACAACGAGAAGCAAGCCUGCGAAGGCAAGCGAAUCUCUGAAAGCUGUUCUCAGUUCGGAGUGCAGUGUGCAACUCGACUGCACGAAGCUGGAAUCGCUAGUAAUCGCGGAUCAGCACGCCGCGGUGAAUACGUUCCCGGGCCUUGUACACACCGCCCGUCACACCAUGGGAGUGUGCAAUGCCCAAAGCCGGUGGCCUAACCUUCGGGAAGGAUCCGUCUAAGGCAGGGCAGAUGACUGGGGUGAAGUCGUAACAAGGUAACCGUA
rnacentral:rRNA from 1 species